rnacentral:rRNA from 1 species
AUUGAACGCUGGCGGCAUGCCUUACACAUGCAAGUCGAACGGUAACGGGCCUUCUGGUGCCGCCGAGUGGCGAACGGGUGAGUAAUACAUCGGAACGUGCCCGAUCGUGGGGGAUAACGAGGCGAAAGCUUUGCUAAUACCGCAUACGAUCUACGGAUGCAAGCAGGGGACCGCAAGGCCUUGCGCGGACGGAGCGGCCGAUGGCAGAUUAGGUAGUUGGUGGGAUAAAAGCUUACCAAGCCGACGAUCUGUAGCUGGUCUGAGAGGAUGAUCAGCCACACUGGGACUGAGACACGGCCCAGACUCCUACGGGAGGCAGCAGUGGGGAAUUUUGGACAAUGGGCGCAAGCCUGAUCCAGCCAUGCCGCGUGCAGGAUGAAGGCCUUCGGGUUGUAAACUGCUUUUGUACGGAACGAAAAGCCUUCUUUUAAUACAGGAGGGUCAUGACGGUACCGUAAGAAUAAGCACCGGCUAACUACGUG